rnacentral:rRNA from 1 species
GAAGCAAAGCCGCGAGGUAGAGCAAAUCUCAAAAAAACAUCUCAGUUCAGACUGCAGGCUGCAACUCGCCUGCACGAAGUCGGAAUUGCUAGUAAUCGUAGGUCAGCAUACUACGGUGAAUACGUUCCCGGGCCUUGUACACACCGCCCGUCAAACCAUGAGAGUUGGCAACACCCGAAGUCGGUAGUCUAACCGCAAGGAGGACGCCGCCGAAGGUGGGGUUGAUGAUUAGGGUUAAGUCGUAACAAGGUAAC